rnacentral:rRNA from 1 species
CUCGUGUCGUGAGAUGUUGGGUUAAGUCCCGCAACGAGCGCAACCCCUAUUGCUAGUUACCAUCAUUAAGUUGGGGACUCUAGCGAGACUGCCAGUGAUAAACUGGAGGAAGGUGGGGAUGACGUCAAAUCAUCAUGCCCCUUAUGACCUGGGCUACAAACGUGAUACAAUGGCUGGAACAAAGGGAUGCGAAGCAGUGAUGUGGAGCGAAACCCAUAAAAACAGUCUCAGUUCGGAUUGAAGUCUGCAACUCGACUUCAUGAAGUCGGAAUCGCUAGUAAUCGCGGAUCAGAACGCCGCGGUGAAUACGUUCUCGGGGUUU